rnacentral:rRNA from 1 species
GAUGAACGCUGGCGGCGUGCUUAACACAUGCAAGUCGAACGGGAAACCUUUUAAUAAAGCUUCGGCAGAUUUGGCUGGUUUCUAGUGGCGGACGGGUGAGUAACGCGUGGGUAACCUGCCUUAUACAGGGGGAUAACAACCAGAAAUGGUUGCUAAUACCGCAUAAGCGCACAGGACCGCAUGGUCCGGUGUGAAAAACUCCGGUGGUAUAAGAUGGACCCGCGUUGGAUUAGCUAGUUGGUGGGGUAACGGCCCACCAAGGCGACGAUCCAUAGCCGGCCUGAGAGGGUGAACGGCCACAUUGGGACUGAGACACGGCCCAGACUCCUACGGGAGGCAGCAGUGGGGAAUAUUGCACAAUGGGGGAAACCUUGAUGCAGCGACGCCGCGUGAAGGAAGAAGUAUCUCGGUAUGUAAACUUCUAUCAGCAGGGAAGAUAGUGACGGUACCUGACUAAGAAGCCCCGGCUAACUACGUGCCAGCCGCCGCGGUAA